rnacentral:sRNA from 1 species
CAGACUGGCCCUGAUGAGACCACCCCCUAGAAGCGGAACCUUGGCGCUUGACCUUGAGGAGGCCACCUGGGCUGGGCCGGGGGAAGACAGGCCAGGGUAGACAGGCCCCAGGGACAGAGGCCAGGCAGGUCAGUGCCCACCAGCCCUGGCAGAGCCCUGCUCCUCACAGCUCCUCAGAGUGGAACAACGUGGACCCAUAUGAACGGGACCAGCUACGGGUCAAGAUGGAGGACGGGGAGUUCUGGAUGUCAUUCCGAGACUUCAUGCGGGAGUUCACCCGCCUGGAGAUCUGCAACCUCACACCCGACGCCCUCAAGAGCCGGACCAUCCGCAAAUGGAACACCACAC